rnacentral:tRNA from 1 species
CCCCUCAUAGACUAGCGGCCAAAGUCGCUACCCUGUCACGGUAGAAAUCACGGGUUCAAAUCCCGUUGGGGGGA